rnacentral:rRNA from 1 species
GACGAACGCUGGCGGCGUGCUUAACACAUGCAAGUCGAGCGAUGAAGUUUCUUCGGAAAUGGAUUAGCGGCGAACGGGUGAGGAACACGUGAAGAAUCUGCCCUCCACUUUGGGAUAACACCGGGAAACCGGUGCUAAUACCGAAUAUUGAAACAUAAGUGGCAUCACUGAGUUUUGAAAGAAUUUCGGUGGAGGAUGACUUCGCGGCCUAUCAGCUAGUUGGUGAGGUAAUGGCUCACCAAGGCAACGACGGGUAGCCGGCCUGAGAUGAUGUCCGGCCGCGAUGGAACUGAGAUACGGUCCAUACUCCUACGGGAGGCAGCAGUGGGGAAUCUUGCACAAUGGGCGAAAGCCUGAUGCAGCGAUUCCGCGUGGAGGAUGACGCAUUACGGUGUGUAAACUCCUUUUUUGGUGGAAGACGAAUGACGGUACACCAAGAAUAAGGGACGGCUAACUACGUG